rnacentral:rRNA from 1 species
UACGUAGGGUGCAAGCGUUGUCCGGAAUUAUUGGGCGUAAAGAGCUCGUAGGCGGCCCAGUAAGUCCGCUCUGAAAGUCAGAGGCUCAACCUCUGGAUGCGGGUGGAUACUGCUGGGCUAGAGUCCGGAAGAGGCGAGUGGAAUUCCUGGUGUAGCGGUGAAAUGCGCAGAUAUCAGGAGGAACACCGAUGGCGAAGGCAGCUCGCUGGGACGGUACUGACGCUGAGACACGGAAAGCCAGGGGAGCAAACGGG